GACGGAGGAUGCAAGCGUUAUCCGGAAUGAUUGGGCGUAAAGCGUCCGCAGGUGGCAGUUCAAGUCUGCUGUCAAAGACCGGGGCUCAACCUCGGAAAGGCAGUGGAAACUGAACAGCUAGAGUAUGGUAGGGGCAAAGGGAAUUCCUGGUGUAGCGGUGAAAUGCGUAGAGAUCAGGAAGAACAUCGGUGGCGAAGGCGCUCUGCUGGACCAUAACUGACACUCAGGGACGAAAGCUAGGGGAGCGAAUGGG
rnacentral:rRNA from 1 species